rnacentral:rRNA from 1 species
UGAUCAUGGCUCAGAUUGAACGCUGGCGGCAGGCCUAACACAUGCAAGUCGAACGGUAACAGGAAGAAGCUUGCUUCUUUGCUGACGAGUGGCGGACGGGUGAGUAAUGUCUGGGAAACUGCCUGAUGGAGGGGGAUAACUACUGGAAACGGUAGCUAAUACCGCAUAACGUCGCAAGACCAAAGAGGGGGACCUUCGGGCCUCUUGCCAUCGGAUGUGCCCAGAUGGGAUUAGCUAGUAGGUGGGGUAACGGCUCACCUAGGCGACAAUCCCUAGCUGGUCUGAGAGGAUGACCAGCCACACUGGAACUGAGACACGGUCCAGACUCCUACGGGAGGCAGCAGUGGGGAAUAUUGCACAAUGGGCGCAAGCCUGAUGCAGCCAUGCCGCGUGUAUGAAGAAGGCCUUCGGGUUGUAAAGUACUUUCAGCGGGGAGGAAGGGAGUAAAGUUAAUACCUUUGCUCAUUGACGUUACCCGCAGAAGAAGCACCGGCUAACUCCGUGCCAGCAGCCGCGGUAAUACGGAGGGUGCAAGCGUUAAUCGGAAUUACUGGGCGUAAAGCGCACGCAGGCGGUUUGUUAAGUCAGAUGUGA